rnacentral:rRNA from 1 species
AUUGAACGCUGGCGGCAGGCCUAACACAUGCAAGUCGAGCGGAUGAGGGGAGCUUGCUCUCUGAUUCAGCGGCGGACGGGUGAGUAAUGCCUAGGAAUCUGCCUGGUAGUGGGGGACAACGUUUCGAAAGGAACGCUAAUACCGCAUACGUCCUACGGGAGAAAGUGGGGGAGCUUCGGACCUCACGCUAUCAGAUGAGCCUAGGUACGAAUAGCUAGUUGGUGAGGUAAAGGCUCAACAAGGCGACGAUCGUUAACUGGUCUGAGAGGAUAAUCAGUCACACUGGAACUGAGACACGGUCCAGACUCCUACGGGAGGCAGCAGUGGGGAAUAUUGGACAAUGGGCGAAAGCCUGAUCCAGCCAUGCCGCGUGUGUGAAGAAGGUCUUCGGAUUGUAAAGCACUUUAAGUUGGGAGGAAGGGCAGUAAGUUAAUACCUUGCUGUUUUGACGUUACCAACAGAAUAAGCACCGGCUAACUUCGUGCCAGCCGCCGCGGUAACAC